rnacentral:rRNA from 1 species
GACGAACGCUGGCGGCGUGCUUAACACAUGCAAGUCGAGCGGUAAGGCCCUUUCGGGGGUACACGAGCGGCGAACGGGUGAGUAACACGUGGGUGACCUGCCCUCAGCUCUGGGAUAAGCCUGGGAAACCGGGUCUAAUACUGGAUAUGACUCCAUGACGCAUGUUGUGGGGUGGAAAGCCUUGUGCGGCUGAGGAUGGGCCCGCGGCCUAUCAGCUUGUUGGUGGGGUGAGGCCUACCAAGGCGACGACGGGUAGCCGGCCUGAGAGGGCGACCGGCCACACUGGGACUGAGACACGGCCCAGACUCCUACGGGAGGCAGCAGUGGGGAAUCUUGCGCAAUGGGCGAAAGCCUGACGCAGCGACGCCG